rnacentral:misc_RNA from 1 species
UACUGACUUACUUCCUUCUUGAUCCUAUCAAAUUUGCUGUGCGCUAUGCACUCAGUGGAAAAGCUUGGGGUCUGGUGGUAGAGCAAAGGACUGCAUUCACCAGUAAGAAGGAUUUUGGAAAGGAAGCUCGUGAAGCUGCGUGGGCGACUGAACAGCGAACACUACAUGGCCUCCAGUCAGUUGAGACAAAAAUGUUUUCGGAGAGGACCCCUUUUAGGGAAAUCAGCGUCAUGGCUGAAGAAGCUAAAAGGCGUGCAGAGAUUGCAAGGUUGAGGGAACUUCACACACUCAAAGGAAAGGUUGAAUCAUUUGCCAAGUUAAGGGGCUUGGACAUCGAUGCCAUUAACCAGCACUACACCGUCUGAAUAUUUUUAUUAUUUUUUCCUCUCCUCCUUCGUUACUUUCUCGCCUUUCCAUGUUCGUUCUAUGUUACUUUUCAAAUCAUAUGGCG